rnacentral:rRNA from 1 species
AGCGGCGGAUGGGUGAGUAACACGUGGGGAACCUGCCCCUAAGUCUGGGAUACCAUUUGGAAACAGGUGCUAAUACCGGAUAAUAAAGCAGAUCGCAUGAUCAGCUUUUGAAAGGCGGCGUAAGCUGUCGCUAAGGGAUGGCCCCGCGGUGCAUUAGCUAGUUGGUAAGGUAACGGCUUACCAAGGCGACGAUGCAUAGCCGAGUUGAGAGACUGAUCGGCCACAUUGGGACUGAGACACGGCCCAAACUCCUACGGGAGGCAGCAGUAGGGAAUCUUCCACAAUGGACGCAAGUCUGAUGGAGCAACGCCGCGUGAGUGAAGAAGGUUCUCGGAUCGUAAAGCUCUGUUGUUGGUGGAGAAGGAUAGAGGUAGUAACUGGCCUUUAUUUGACGGUAAUCAACCAGAAAGUCACGGCUAACUACGUGCCAGCAGCCGCGGUAAUACGUAGGUGGCAAGCGUUGUCCGGAUUUAUUGGGCGUAAAGCGAGCGCAGGCGGAAAAAUAAGUCUAAUGUGAAAGCCCUCGGCUUAACCGAGGAACUGCAUCGGAAACUGUUUUUCUUGAGUGCAGAAGAGGAGAGUGGAACUCCAUGUGUAGCGGUGGAAUGCGUAGAUAUAUGGAAGAACACCAGUGGCGAAAGCGGCUCUCUGGUCUGCAACUGACGCUGAGGCUCGAAAGCAUGGGUAGCGAACAGGAUUAGAUACCCUGGUAGUCCAUGCCGUAACGAUGAGUGCUAAGUGU